rnacentral:rRNA from 1 species
CAGUAGCCACGGGAAAACGGAGGGUGCAAGCGUUAAUCGGAAUUAUUGGGCGUAAAGAGCUCGUAGGCGGUUUGUCGCGUCUGCUGUGAAAACUGGAGGCUCAACCUCCAGCCUGCAGUGGGUACGGGCAGACUAGAGUGCGGUAGGGGAGAUUGGAAUUCCUGGUGUAGCGGUGGAAUGCGCAGAUAUCAGGAGGAACACCGAUGGCGAAGGCAGAUCUCUGGGCCGUAACUGACGCUGAGGAGCGAAAGCGUGGGGAGCGAACAGGAUUAGAUACCCGCGUAGUCCCUGUCUCUUAUAC